ACAUGGUUUGGUGAUGGUUUUGAUCAGAGCUAGGUUGAUGGUUGGACCAGAUGACCUUGGAGGUCCCUUCCAGCCUAGACAGUUCUAUGAUUCUAUGAAUAUCAGGGUAAGCAAAGGGUGAAACAGAAAUAAACUUGCUGACAUCUGAACAGACAAACUUAGACCCUGCUGCUGCUUCUGAUACAGCUGUCUGCAAGCAUUUCACAGCGGUCCACAAGCUUCUCUCACCCUCUUGCCAAAGCAGAUUUGCCAGUAAACCUCCAGCAGCGUAGGUUUACUAGCUUUGAUACGGCAAAACAUUUCAAGAGCCCUACUGUCUCUCACAUAUAUCCUCUCAUAUUCUGUGAACACUUCCAGAUCCUUGCUUUUCUCAUGCUACUGUUCUAAAUCCAUUUGCUGCCUGCCUGUAUUUCCACCCUAAACAGUGCACAUAUGCUCGAUCUCACAUAGAGAGCAUCUACCAUGAAAUGCAGUAAUAGCACAGCCCAUGUUCAUAUGAAUCUGGCUUCUUGUCACUUGGCUCUUGCUUGUCUCUGUAAGCUGUGUCCUCCGUCUUUUCCGACGCAUCUUUUGGCAGCAGCUACUUAGAGACACACCGGAUAAACACCGAGUCCACAAAAAAAUGAAGCAAAACCACAGCGGCUGGUAAACCAGGUUAGGAUCCGUCCCUUCUGCUUGUAAUAGCGAGUUCUGUGGUCCUCGGAUAAGUUGCUCUAUAAUUUACUCCUCCAAAUAGAAGCAUAAUGAGACACAGUUGCUGUGGCUGUGAAUCGUGGUACCGAUGCCAAAUGAGCAUGCCUACUUGCUGGGGCCAAACGCCACGCAGCGAGAGCGUGGAGCGUACAGCAAGAGACCUUCGUUUUGCAAGCUGUAAGGAGAUUAGGCCGUGCAGGGGAGUUAAAAGUCCUCAGAACGGUGAAGAAUUACAGCAACAUCCCAGGCCCCAGCCGGGAGGAGAUGAUCACACUCCAUGCCAUAAGAAGGGGCACUGGCAAAUCUCCCAAACCAGCUGCCCAACAGGGCAAUCGGAUGGCUGCGCUUCUGCGAUCGCUCUGUCUGCUAUCACACUCCAUGCCAUAAGAAGGGGCACUGGCAAAUCUCCCAAACCAGCUGCCCAACAGGGCAAUCGGAUGGCUGCGCUGCUGCGAUCGCUCUGUCUGCUGCCAGGAAGGAAGGGGAACUGCAGAUGCGUUAGACCUAUGAGAUUCCUCCACAUAGGAGUUCUGAGGGUGAUCCCACUUCUUUACUUCUGCCUUAAAAGACUCCGUAACCUUCUGCUCUUCUGCUCAGCCCGUUCGUCACCAGAAGAGGUCCUGAUUAUCCCCGUUCUGGUGAAGUCCUUUCCCUAGGUAAGAACUUGUCUGCUCUGUGACUGAAGCUCUAGUGAGAUCAAUAAUGAUUUAAGUCAGAUAUGGCCAUAUGGUCUGGAGGUCAAGAUGCCCUAACUGCCUGGCUGGUUUCCCGAGGCUCCGAGCUCCCCAUCGCUGCAGCUACAUUGCAGUGGCUAGUUCAGUGGUGGGCUGAGUACGUAUCACCAGGCAGCAGCCACACAAACGUUUGCUGAAGAGGCUUGCUUCCCACAUUAUGCCCUCAUUGCAUGCUAACCUUGGAUUAAAUCAACCAAGGAAAGGGAGCCUGGCGUUCCCUAACUUUUAUUUAACUCCCUGCUGUUAUUAAGUCUGCUGCUGAACGUGUGGAAGCGUGUGGGAUGGGCACAAACUUUGCAGAAGAAAAAGCCCUGUUGGUAGGAGGCAACGGCAGCCUUGAUGCAAAAGUGGCAGAGUGUGCUCCGAGGCCAGCGCCGCCGGAAGGAAGCAGAGCAGUGCACAAAACAUCACUGCAGAUAUAAAAUGGGAAUUCUCUCCAGGCACUCUCAUCCAGAUCACCUGGCAAGAGAGAAGGGGUUGGGAUUGGUAAUAAACGGCACAGUGAAGGUCA
rnacentral:lncRNA from 1 species